CGUGUAGGCGGGUAUAUAAGUCAGAAGUGAAAUCCUAUAGCUUAACUAUAGAACUGCUUUUGAAACUGUAUACCUAGAAUGUGGGAGAGGUAGAUGGAAUUUCUGGUGUAGGGGUAAAAUCCGUAGAGAUCAGAAGGAAUACCGAUUGCGAAGGCGAUCUACUGGAACAUUAUUGACGCUGAGACGCGAAAGCGUGGGGAGCAAACA
rnacentral:rRNA from 1 species